UACGAAGGGGGCUAGCGUUGUUCGGAAUUACUGGGCGUAAAGCGCACGUAGGCGGAUUGUUAAGUGAGGGGUGAAAUCCCAGGGCUCAACCCUGGAACUGCCUCUCAUACUGGCAAUCUCGAGUUCGAGAGAGGUGAGUGGAAUUCCGAGUGUAGAGGUGAAAUUCGUAGAUAUUCGGAGGAACACCAGUGGCGAAGGCGGCUCACUGGCUCGAUACUGACGCUGAGGUGCGAAAGCGUGGGGAGCAAACAGG
rnacentral:ncRNA from 2 species